UGCUGGUGGCCGCCGAGAUUGUCUCGGAGGGGAACGCAGAUACUGCGCCGCUUCCUGUCCUGGCGGCUCCCUUGUGGCUGGAGGUGUUUGAACGGUGGGUGGCCCCACCGCAGAAUUACAGCCCUGAAGAAGUCUACUAAAAGGAUUAAAUGCAUUGGGUCAUCUACAUAAUAACCUGCGAGCCCUGUGAGGCAAUCCACCCUAUGAGCUCACACCCAGAAGGGUUAGGUGGACACAAAUUAACAUUGUAACCUCAUAAACAGGAGGUGAAGCUGUGAACUUUGGGAGUAGGAGACAAGGUGCCACGGGCAGCUGGGCAGAGCCAACACAGGGAAAGCAGGGACCUGUGAGCAGGUGCUGCGGCAGGAGGUCCUGACACCCCCAGACAAGUGCUGCAGGGUGACACUGCUGCGACCAGGCCUAGAGCUGCUGCCGCCACAGCCUGACUGCUGACAGCUGACAUUGCUGCUGCUGCUGCUAGAGGUGUCUGCUGUAUGGGGCCAGGGACUGCUGCUGCAUAAGAGAAAAGAAUCAGCGGGCGCACAAGGGAAGAUAAGUAACAGGGAGUUAGCACAUAGCAAAAAUGGGGGUAGCCGCGAUUGAGGAUCUCACUCAAUGCGUAUCGUGCAUGAUGCAUCACACCUGGAACAACAGUCCGAGCAUGGGUACAUCUGUGUGAGAUGUGAGCGAACAGCUGCCCAAGAAGCCCAGUUUAGGACAAAAGGCUGCACCAAGGUAGCUAGAUGACUGAACUAGGAGACAGCAGUGGACGGCACAAACAAACAUGUGGCACUUAAACUUCCAACAUGGCACAUCCAGGAAACAGAAUGGCACUGCAAUGCAGACAAUGUGGCAGUUUAAUAAAUGAAAAUGUUUGUCAUCUACACAAGAAGACAGUUAGCAAUGCUCCAAACAGCACAUAAUGCAAAGAAAAGAUGUGCAAGAUGGAAUUGUCCUUGAGCCCUCCUACCCACCUGUAUGUUGUAUAUUUUAAACAGGACAUACACAGUUUAAUGAACCAAUCACUUCAGCAACAGGGACUGCCACUUGUGGCUGAAAUGAUUGGUUGGUUUGGUUCCCCACAAAAUAAGCUGCAACUGGUCUCCACGUACACCAUUUGGCUCUACAUAGGCAAGAUGUUGCCAUAACCAUCAUCAUCCAAUUCCUCACCCCCAUCAGUGUGUACAUCCUCUUCUUCACACACUUUUAAUUCGUCCCUACUGGAAUGCACCAUUACAGGCGUCUUUGUCUUUUUUGGACAUAAUUACUGGUAAAGGUCUUUCUCAUGAAAUUUAUCAUUCAUUUUGAUGAACAUCAUCUUUUCCGCAUUUUGAGAAAUUAACCUCCUACGCUGAUCGCUGACAAGAUUGCCGGCUGAGCUGAAAAGUCUUUCUGAGUACACACUGGAGGGUGUGCACCUUAAGUAAAGCAAAGCCAAUUUGUGAAAGGACAUACAAAUUGCCUUUUUUCCUGCCAGUAGUGAAACGGACUGUCUGGCAUGCCUAUUGGGCUGUUAUCACUAAAAUAAUCAUCAUCCCUUCUUUGCAUGGUAGCCGCAUCAUAUUCAGUCACGGUAGACAUGUCAAAAAUUGUAGGCAGUUUUUGCUGACUGAUCUGCAUUACCAUGCAUCUCUUAGGAAAAUGUAGCUUUUUCUUAGCAGCCAAAGUUGCUGGAGAAGCUGAAACAGGAGAUGUUGCAGUGUAACGUUCUGCUUGAGCUGACAAUUUGCUCACCAACAGCAAUUUGCCUUUCUUCAGAUUUGUGUCCAUUUGAAAGAAAGACACAAUGUAUGACUUAAACCUAUGAUCAAGUAUGGCCGCCAAAAUAUAGUGACCUGAUUUCAAAGAGAUUGAUGACACUUAUAUCAUAGGGAAACAAAUGAAGGGCUUGAGCUAAGAGUCCGGCAUGCUUAGUAAAAUUGCUUCAUUUCAGCACCUCCUUCAGUUUCUCCAACUGCUUUUCCAAGAGUCUAAUAAGAGGAAUUAACUGACUCAAGGUGGCAGUGUCUGAAACUAAUUUCACAUGUGGCAACUUGAAAGGGUUUGAGAACCUUGCACAACAUGAAAAGUAUUAUCCACUGUGCUUAAGUAAGGUAUGUUCCCCCUCCUUUUCCUAUGUCAUAGGUCAUUAUGUAGCCUUGGAUGCCAUGCUGCUGCUCCUCCAGCUGCUGAAGCAUAUAAAGGGUAGAAUUAGUGAUGUGCACCGGACAUAUUUCGGGUUUGUGUUUUGGUUUUGGAUUCAGUUCCGCGGCCGUGUUUUGAAUUCGGACGCGUUUUGGCAAAACCUCACCGAAAUUUUUUUGUCGGAUUCGGGUGUGUUUUGGAUUCGGGUGUUUUUUUCAAAAAACCCUAAA